rnacentral:tRNA from 1 species
CCCGAGGUAGCCAAGUGGCCUAAGGCAGCGGACUGUAAAUUCGCCAUACGUUGGUUCAAAUCCAACCCUCGGGA